rnacentral:rRNA from 1 species
UACGGAGGGGGCAAGCGUUAAUCGGAAUCACUGGGCGUAAAGCGCGCGUAGGCGGCUUUUUAAGUCGGACGUGAAAGCCCUCGGCUCAAACGGGGAACUGCGUUCGAAACUGGGAAGCUUGAGUCCUGGAGAGGGUGGCGGAAUUCCGGGUGUAGGAGUGAAAUCCGUAGAUAUCCGGAGGAACACCGGCGGCGAAGGCGGCCACCUGGACAGGUACUGACGCUGAGGCGCGAAAGCGUGGGGAGCAAACAGG